rnacentral:rRNA from 1 species
GUGGGGAAUAUUGGACAAUGGGGGAAACCCUGAUCCAGCAAUGCCGCGUGGGUGAAGAAGGCCUGCGGGUUGUAAAGCCCUUUCGGUGAGGACAAAACGCGCCGUGCUAAUACCACGGUGUUUUGAUUUAACUCACUAAAGAAGCACCGGCUAACUCUGUGCCAGCAGCCGCGGUAAUACAGAGGGUGCGAGCGUUAAUCGGAAUUACUGGGCGUAAAGCGCACGUAGGUGGCUUGGUAAGUUGGAUGUGAAAUCCCCGGGCUUAACUUGGGAAUUGCAUUCAAGACUGCCUUGCUAGAGUGUGGAAGAGGGAAGCGGAAUUCCAGGUGUAGCGGUGAAAUGCGUAGAUAUCUGGAGGAACAUCAGUGGCGAAGGCGGCUUCCUGGUCCAACACUGACACUGAGGUGCGAAAGCGUGGGGAGCAAACAGGAUUAGAAACCCUAGUAGUCC